GUCCCUUCUCUAUGCCCUAAUGGAUGAGGAUAAAAUCUAGUUCAAUUUGAAUUCAAAUUGGAUUUGAAUUCAACUUGGAACUUAAUCCUUAUCUUAGUUCAAAUUUGAUUUGAACUUGGCUUAUCCUCAUCUCCACACCAACCUUAAAAGCUUCUCAAUUUUGUGCAAUAAAGUUUAGGAGAGAAUUACCCUGAGAUUAUUCUCAGAGUGGGGAGUGAGGUUUGGGCUGGGUGGCCUUCCUUUGGUGUGUGAGAUUAGAGGAGAUCUAUCUCCUCUUGGGUGAGAGAUCUGGAUCAAAUCUAGGGUUUUAGGUGAAGAAAAAUCAAAGAAAGAAGAGAGUUCACCUUACUCCUUUUAUCACCACAUCCCCUUCACAUUUCUUCUUCAAUUUUGGAAGAGUUCGUGAGAUUCAAAGAGAGGUGCAGAUCAGCCAUCAACAAGAUCUUCACGCAAGCUAGCACUCCUGGAAAGAUAGAUCAGAGCAGGACUUCGAGUGGAUGAUCUAAAGAUGCCAGACAUCAUGUGUGGCUGUAAGCAACUAGGAAGACCUCAAAUCUACAUUGUUUAGAUGCGGAGAUCUACUAUCUGUGCUCAGGUAAUGAGUUUUGAACUCAUACUCAUUGUAGAUUAGAUAUACCGCAUGUUUGAUAUGAUCAUGCAUGUAGAUUUUAAUUUUCAGAUCA
rnacentral:lncRNA from 1 species